rnacentral:rRNA from 1 species
CCUACGGGAGGCAGCAGUGAGGAAUAUUGGUCAAUGGGCGAGAGCCUGAGCCAGCCAAGUAGCGUGCAGGAUGACUGCCCUAUGGGUUGUAAACUGCUUUUAUAUAGGGAUAAAGUCGGGGACGUGUCCCCGUUUGUAGGUACUAUAUGAAUAAGGACCGGCUAAUUCCGUGCCAGCAGCCGCGGUAAUA